rnacentral:RNase_P_RNA from 1 species
GAAGCUGACCAGACAGUCGCCGCUUCGUCGUCGUCCUCUUCGGGGGAGACGGGCGGAGGGGAGGAAAGUCCGGGCUCCAUAGGGCAGGGUGCCAGGUAACGCCUGGGGGGGGGGAACCCACGACCAGUGCAACAGAGAGCAAACCGCCGAUGGCCCGCGCAAGCGGGAUCAGGUAAGGGUGAAAGGGUGCGGUAAGAGCGCACCGCGCGGCUGGUAACAGUCCGUGGCACGGUAAACUCCACCCGGAGCAAGGCCAAAUAGGGGUUCAUAAGGUACGGCCCGUACUGAACCCGGGUAGGCUGCUUGAGCCAGUGAGCGAUUGCUGGCCUAGAUGAAUGACUGUCCACGACAGAACCCGGCUUAUCGGUCAGUUUCACCU